rnacentral:rRNA from 1 species
CCUACGGGUGGCAGCAGUGGGGGAUAUUGCACAAUGGGGGGAACCCUGAUGCAGCGACGCCGCGUGUGGGAAGACGGUCCUCUGGAUUGUAAACCACUUUCCCCAGGGACGAAAAUGACGGUACCAGGUGAGGAAGCUCCGGCUAACUACGUGCCAGCAGCCGCGGUAAUACGUAGGGAGCGAGCGUUGUCCGGAAUUACUGGGUGUAAAGGGAGCGUAGGGGGGGAUGUAAGUUGGGUGUAAAAACUACCGGCUCAACUGGUAGUCGCACUCAAAACUGCAGCUCUUGAGUGGAGGAGAGGCAGGCGGAAUUCCUGGUGUAGCGGUGAAAUGCGUAGAUAUUAGGAGGAACACCAGUGGCGAAGGCGGCCUGCUGGGCUUUUACUGACGCUGAGGCUCGAAAGUGUGGGGAGCAAACAGGAUUAGAUACCCGAGUAGUC